CAGUCCAAUAGUAUGUGUCUGCAGAGCUGGAGAGCCCUGCAGCUGCAGUUUUACACGCUGCAGUUCUACACGUGUUAGCGCCCCUGCUGGUAGGUCAGUGCUAAUGCAGAUGCUGCAGUUCUACACGUGAUAGCGCCCCAUGCUGGUAGGUCAGUGCUAAUGCAGGUGCUGCAGUUCAGGAAUUGGACUUCUUUACAUGGAUAAAAUGUGUUAUUUUGCUGAAAAAAAAAGAAAAGAAAAAAAAACGGAAUAUGAGCUGACAGUCAAUAUUUAAGGUUUGGUUAACCCAAAACACCUUGUAGAAUUUAGGUUUAUUCCAUCCAAAACAGUUAGGAGUAAUCUAAUUUCAAUGUAAUAAAAAAAAUAUUUAUUUCUGGACCCAGUGUUUUAAAUGCCCGAGCCAAAGCAAGCUGUGCAGUGCUUGAAGCCCUGUAGGGACCAGCUUUGCCUUUUUAUUAUUUAUUCAUUACAUUUGAUGACAAUUUGACCCCUUUGAGUGAGAAUUUCAUAGUAUUGUCAUUCCAGGUAAUUCUUUGUGGUGAUCAACAAAAAAAAUAUGAUUGGCUCUUAACGUCUACAAAAAAAUGUCUUCUAUCAAGAACAAAGCUGUGCAAAAAGGCUGUUGCCAUGGAGAAGCCUUUGAUCAUAAAGCCACCAAGAAUUAGCCUUUUGUCAAAGUGGCUAAGUGUUUUAAUCUUAAGGUAAAGAGCAGUUCUUUGUGACUUGAGUGGUUAUUGGGAGAAACAGGAGGAAGAUGGAGCCAUGUCUGAAAGGCAGCAUCAGGAAAUGGGAGACAACCAUCACAAGAGUCUAAAUUCAUAUGGAAUGCAGGUUUGAAGUCCCUUGAUGGGGGCAAGUUCUUUUCUCUCAUUAUUAGAGUAGUUAAUUAUCUU